GCUCCCUUUGGCAGCACAUAUACAGAGAAGAUUAGCUUGGCCCCUACACAAGAAUGACAUGCAGAUUUGUCAAGCGUUCCAUAUUUUA
rnacentral:snRNA from 1 species